rnacentral:misc_RNA from 1 species
GCGAAUGAAUUUUUAGCACAGAAAGCUAACAUGUAUCAAUGCCUAUGUGCCACAUACGCUGCAUAAAGAACUUACAUAAAAUUUGCGACAUGUUGCAUUACCCUUAUGCUAUUUUAUUUUAAUAAUAUAAGCAUAUGUUAUGUUUCUUUGACAGAAUGAAAUCUUGUGAUUGAAUCCUCACACACCUUGUCACCUCCAAUAAAAA